rnacentral:rRNA from 1 species
UUCGGUACAUCGGUGACAGGUGGUGCAUGGUUGUCGUCAGCUCGUGUCGUGAGAUGUUGGGUUAAGUCCCGCAACGAGCGCAACCCCUAUUGUUAGUUGCCAUCAUUCAGUUUGGGCACUCUAGCGAGACUGCCGGUAAUAAACCGGAGGAAGGUGGGGAUGACGUCAAAUCAUCAUGCCCCUUAUGACCUGGGCUACACACGUGCUACAAUGGUUGGUACAACGAGUUGCGAGUCGGUGACGGCGAGCUAAUCUCUUAAAGCCAAUCUCAGUUCGGAUUGUAGGCUGCAACUCGCCUACAUGAAGUCGGAAUCGCUAGUAAUCGCGGAUCAGCACGCCGCGGUGAAUACGUUCCCGGGCCUU